rnacentral:rRNA from 1 species
CAGCAGCCGCGGGAAUACGGAGGAUCCAAGCGUUAUCCGGAAUCAUUGGGUUUAAAGGGUCCGUAGGCGGUCUUGUAAGUCAGUGGUGAAAGCCCAUCGCUCAACGGUGGAACGGCCAUUGAUACUGCAGGACUUGAAUUAUUGGGAAGUAACUAGAAUAUGUAGUGUAGCGGUGAAAUGCUUAGAGAUUACAUGGAAUACCAAUUGCGAAGGCAGGUUACUACCAAUUGAUUGACGCUGAUGGACGAAAGCGUGGGUAGCGAACAGGAUUAGAUACCCCUGUAGUCCCUGUCUCUUAUAA